CGGUUAAGUCCGCUAACGAGCGCAACCCUCGCUGUGUGUUACAAGUGUCACACGGAACUGCCGGUCAUAAACCGGAGGAAGGUGGGGAUGACGUCAAGUCAGCAUGGCCUUUAUAUCCUGGGCUACACACACGCUACAAUGGGAAGGGACAAUAGGUUGCGAAGCCGCGAGGCGGAGCCAAUCCAGCAAAACUUCCCUCAGUUCAGAUUGCAGGCUGCAACUCGCCUGCAUGAAGUUGGAGUUGCUAGUAAACGCAGGUCAGCCAUACUGCGUUGAAUACGUUCCCGGGGCUU
rnacentral:rRNA from 1 species